CACGUAGGGCGCGAGCGUUGUCCGGAAUUAUUGGGCGUAAAGAGCUCGUAGGCGGCCUGUUGCGUCCGCUGUGAAAGCCCGGGGCUUAACCCCGGGUCUGCAGUGGAUACGGGCAGGCUAGAGGUAGGUAGGGGAGAAUGGAAUUCCCGGUGUAGCGGUGAAAUGCGCAGAUAUCGGGAGGAACACCCGUGGCGAAGGCGGCUCUCUGGGACGGUACUGACGCUGAGACGCGAAAGCGUGGGGAGCGAACAGG
rnacentral:rRNA from 1 species